rnacentral:rRNA from 1 species
UACGGGGGGAGCAAGCGUUGUUCGGAUUUACUGGGCGUAAAGCGCACGUAGGCGGAUCGAUCAGUCAGGGGUGAAAUCCCAGAGCUCAACUCUGGAACUGCCUUUGAUACUGUCGAUCUGGAGUAUGGAAGAGGUGAGUGGAAUUCCGAGUGUAGAGGUGAAAUUCGUAGAUAUUCGCAAGAACACCAGUGGCGAAGGCGGCUCACUGGCCCGAUACUGACGCUGAGGCACGAAAGCGUGGGGAGCAAACAGG